rnacentral:rRNA from 1 species
AUUGAACGCUGGCGGCAGGCCUAACACAUGCAAGUCGAACGAGUGGCGGACGGGUGAGUAAUGUCUGGGAAACUGCCUGAUGGAGGGGGAUAACUACUGGAAACGGUAGCUAAUACCGCAUACCAUCGGAUGUGCCCAGAUGGGAUUAGCUAGUAGGUGGGGUAAAGGCUCACCUAGGCGACGAUCCCUAGCUGGUCUGAGAGGAUGAUCGGCACCAUUGGAACUGAGACACGGCCCGGACUCCUACGGGAGGCAGCAGUGGGGAAUAUUGCACAAUGGGCGCAAGCCUGAUACAGCCAUGCCGCGUGUAUGAAGAAGGCCCUAGGGUUGUAAAGUACGUUCAGUCGGGAGGCGGUACCGACAGAAGAAGCACCGGCUAACUCCGUGCCAGCAGCCGCGGUAAUAC